rnacentral:misc_RNA from 1 species
AAGUAACAUGAACAUAUCUGCAACCUUUAAUGCCUAGUUCUCAACUUUAAUUGAGGUAACAUGGCUUAUUUCAACUCUUCACUCUUCUGUCUUCUUCUUUUGGCUUUCACAAGUUCAAGUUUAAGAUUGAUUACGAUGCCUCAAAGAUAAGCUAGAGAAGCUAACAAUGACAGUGCCGUCGUUAAAGCUUUAGCUUGUCAA